rnacentral:rRNA from 1 species
GAUGAACGCUGGCGGCGUGCCUAAUACAUGCAAGUCGAGCGAACGGACGAGAAGCUUGCUUCUCUGAUGUUAGCGGCGGACGGGUGAGUAACACGUGGAUAACCUACCUAUAAGACUGGGAUAACUUCGGGAAACCGUAGCUAAUACCGGAUAAUAUUUUGAACCGCAUGGUUCAAAAGUGAAAGACGGUCUUGCUGUCACUUAUAGAUGGAUCCGCGCUGCAUUAGCUAGUUGGUAAGGUAACGGCUUACCAAGGCAACGAUGCAUAGCCGGCCUGAGAGGGUGAUCGGCCACACUGAAACUGAGACACGGUCCAGACUCCUACGGGAGGCAGCAGUAGGGAAUCUUCCGCAAUGGGCGAAAGCCUGACGGAGCAACGCCGCGGGAGUGAUGAAGGUCUUCGGAUCGUAAAACUCUGUUAUUAGGGAAGAACAUAUGUGUAAGUAACUGUGCACAUCUUGACGGUACCUAAUCAGAAAGCCACGGCUAACUACGU